rnacentral:rRNA from 1 species
AAUGAACGCUGGCGGCGUGCUUAACACAUGCAAGUCGGAUGUGCCGCAAGGUGCAUGGCAGACGGGUGAGUAACGCGUGGGGAACCUACCUCUUUGUGGGGAAUAACGCUCCGAAAGGAGUGGUAAUACCGCAUGUGAUCAUCGACUGGAAUGUUGGUGAUGAAAGCUGGGGCAACCUAGCGCAAGGAGAGGGUCCUGCGUCUGAUUAGCUAGUUGGUGGGGUAAUGGCCUACCAAGGCGACGAUCAGUAGCCGGCCUGAGAGGGUGAUCGGCCACACUGGAACUGAGACACGGUCCAGACUCCUACGGGAGGCAG